rnacentral:ncRNA from 1 species
UUUAAACCGUUGAAGAGAAUAGUAACAUUAUAGUUAGUUUUAGAGAGUGAAUGGUUGGUGAAAAUUCAUACUAGGUAUUUUGUGAAUCCGUCUCGGAGGGAUUGUGAUAAACAAUACGGUAAAACCGUUAAUAAUUUUAAAGUGGGUUUAAAUUAAACCAAUUAGGGUGGCAACGCGGAGUCCUUUCGUCCCUACA